UUUAAAAUCUCAUAAUAAUUUUCAUGACAAAAUUAAAAUCACUGACUAGUGAGUCUUCUCCAAGUACUAUCACACCAAAACAUAAAACAAAUACGAGAGCAUGCAUUGUCUUUCAGGAAAUUCCAGCACAAAACAAAUAAUUCGCUCCUUAACGUUACAUAUCAGAGCAUAACUAAAACUAAAACGAAUAAACUAAAAGAAAUAGCUUCAGGAGCUAACUUCCACUCACAGUAACAUCUCUACUCUUUAGUAUCUGCACGAUGCCCAUGUAAAGUCAACAUUCAAACAUAAUGGGUGAGAAUUCAUUUCAACAAUAACACCUAAGAAU
rnacentral:lncRNA from 1 species